rnacentral:rRNA from 1 species
UACGGGGGGGGCAAGCGUUGUUCGGAAUUACUGGGCGUAAAGGGCUCGUAGGCGGCCAACUAAGUCAGACGUGAAAUCCCUCGGCUUAACCGGGGAACUGCGUCUGAUACUGGAUGGCUUGAGUUUGGGAGAGGGAUGCGGAAUUCCAGGUGUAGCGGUGAAAUGCGUAGAUAUCAGGAGGAACACCGGUGGCGAAGGCGGGUCUCUGGGCCGAUACUGACGCUGAGACGCGAAAGCGUGGGGAGCAAACAGG